rnacentral:rRNA from 1 species
UACGGGGGGAGCAAGCGUUGUUCGGAUUUACUGGGCGUAGAGGGCGCGUAGGCGGCCACCGCAAGUCGGUUGUGAAAUCUCUGGGCUUAACCCAGAAAGGUCAACCGAUACUGCGGGGCUAGAGUGCAGAAGGGGCAACUGGAAUUCUCGGUGUAGCGGUGAAAUGCGUAGAUAUCGAGAGGAACACCUGCGGCGAAGGCGGGUUGCUGGGCUGACACUGACGCUGAAGCGCGAAAGCUAGGGGAGCGAACGGG